rnacentral:rRNA from 1 species
CAGUCUGCAGAGGAAUCAUUUAGAGUUCACUAUUUUGUACGUAUUGUUGAUCAAGCAAUUAGCUCACUUACAAGCAGAUUUGAACAAUACCAGGGGUAUCAGAAAAUAUUUAAUUUCUUAUUUACCUCUGAAACAUUGCAGUCCUUGGAUAAGAAGAGCUUGAAAACUUCUUGUGAUAAUCUGGAGGUUGCUCUUACAAAGGAUGGAAAAUCUGACAUUGAUGCCAACGAACUGUAUGUGGAGUUGAUGUUUCUUCAAAAUUUCACCCCAAAAGAAAAUAUUGGGCCCGUUGAAAUUCUAAAGUUCUUAAAGCGGCAUGAUUGUUUUCCCAAUGCAAGUAUUGCAUAUAGAGUUCUUUUGACCAUCCCUGUGACUGUUGCAUCAACAGAACGGAGCUUUUCGAAAUUGAAGCUAUUGAAGUCUUAUAUGCGCACUACCAUGACACAACAAAGACUUACUGAUUUGGCCACAAUAGCUCUUGAGAGUGAAGUAUUGGAGAAGAUUGAUUAUGAGGAUAUUAUU